UACGGGGGGAGCAAGCGUUGUUCGGAUUUACUGGGCGUAAAGGGCGCGUAGGCGGCCAGCACAAGUCAGUUGUGAAAUCUCCGAGCUUAACUCGGAAAGGUCAACUGAUACUGUGCGGCUAGAGUGCGGAAGGGGCAACUGGAAUUCUUGGUGUAGCGGUGAAAUGCGUAGAUAUCAAGAGGAACACCGGUGGCGAAGGCGGGUCUCUGGGCAGUAACUGACGCUGAGGAGCGAAAGCGUGGGGAGCGAACAGG
rnacentral:rRNA from 1 species